CCCUUAGAUGUUCUGGGCCGCACGCGCGCUACAAUGGCAAAAUCAACAAGUUACCUUUGUCGACAGACAUAGGAAAUCUUUUCAGUUUUUGUCGUGAUGGGGAUAGACCCUUGUAAUUGUUGGUCUCCAACGAGGAAUUCCUAGUAAACGCAAGUCAUUAACUUGCAUUGAUUACGUCCCUGCCCUUUGUACACACCGCCCGUCGCACCUACCGAUUGAAUGGUCCGGUGAAGUCUUCGGACUAUAGGUUGCCUUGAGCAACUUGUGGAAAGUUGAGUAAACCUUACCAUUUAGAGGAAGGUGAAGUCGUANCA
rnacentral:rRNA from 1 species